AGCGCGCCCUUCGGGGUGAGCGGCGGACGGGUUAGUAACGCGUGGGAACGUACCCAGAUCUAAGGAAUAGCCACUGGAAACGGUGAGUAAUACCUUAUACGCCCUUCGGGGGAAAGAUUUAUCGGAUUUGGAUCGGCCCGCGUUAGAUUAGAUAGUUGGUGGGGUAACGGCCUACCAAGUCUACGAUCUAUAGCUGGUUUUAGAGGAUGAUCAGCAACACUGGGACUGAGACACGGCCCAGACUCCUACGGGAGGCAGCAGUGGGGAAUCUUGGACAAUGGGCGCAAGCCUGAUCCAGCCAUGCCGCGUGAGUGAUGAAGGCCUUAGGGUCGUAAAGCUCUUUCGCCAGGGAUGAUAAUGACAGUACCUGGUAAAGAAACCCCGGCUAACUCCGUGCCAGCAGCCGCGGUAAUACGGAGGGGGUUAGCGUUGUUCGGAAUUACUGGGCGUAAAGCGCGCGUAGGCGGGUUGUUAAGUUAGAGGUGAAAUCCCGGGGCUCAACCCCGGAACUGCCUUUAAUACUGGCAACCUAGAGUUCGAGAGAGGUGAGUGGAAUUCCGAGUGCAGAGGUGAAAUUCGUAGAUAUUCGGAGGAACACCAGUGGCGAAGGCGGCUCACUGGC
rnacentral:rRNA from 1 species